GUCUACAGACGUGCCACCCUGAAAAGGACCGAUCUCUUCUGAUUUCAGAAGCUAAGCAGGGUUGGGCCUGGUUAGUACUUGGAUGGGAGACCACCUAGGAAGAUCAGGUGCUGUAGGUG
rnacentral:rRNA from 1 species